rnacentral:rRNA from 1 species
UACGGAGGAUGCAAGCGUUAUCCGGAAUGAUUGGGCGUAAAGGGUCCGCAGGUGGCAGUGUAAGUCUGCUGUCAAAGAAUGAGGCUUAACCUUAUCAAGGCAGUGGAAACUACACAGCUAGAGUACGGUCGGGGUAGAAGGAAUUCCUGGUGUAGCGGUGAAAUGCGUAGAGAUCAGGAAGAACACCGGUGGCGAAGGCGGCAUCCUGGACCGAUACUGACGCUGAGGAGCGAAAGCCAGGGGAGCAAACGGG